GACGAACGCUGGCGGCGUGCUUAACACAUGCAAGUCGAACGGAAAGGCCCUGCUUUUGUGGGGUUCUCGAUUGGCGAACGGGUGAGUAACACGUGAGUAACCUGCCCUUGACUUUGUGAUAACUUCAGGAAACUGGGGCUAAUACCGGAUAGGAUCUCCUGCUCCAUGUGGUUGGUUGGAAAGUUUCGGCGGUUGUGUCUGGACUCGCGGCUUAUCAGCUUGUUGGUGGGGUAGUGGCUUACCAAGGCUUUGACGGGUAGCCGGCCUGAGAGUGUGACCGGCUACAUGGGGACUGAGAUACGGCCCAGAGUCAUACGGGAGGCAGGAGUGGGGAAUAGUGAAAAAAGGGCGGCAGGCUGAUGAAGCAACGCCGGGUGGGGGAUGACGGUUUUCGGGUUGGAACCAGUUUUUGAGUGUGAAGACGCGUGAGUGCGGGUACUGGGUAAAGAAGCACCGGUUACUUACGU
rnacentral:rRNA from 1 species